GAUGAACGCUGGCGGCGUGCCUAAUACAUGCAAGUCGAGCGAACAGAUGAGGAGCUUGCUCCUCUGACGUUAGCGGCGGACGGGUGAGUAACACGUGGAUAACCUACCUAUAAGACUGGGAUAACUUCGGGAAACCGGAGCUAAUACCGGAUAAUAUAUUGAACCGCAUGGUUCAAUAGUGAAAGACGGUUUUGCUGUCACUUAUAGAUGGAUCCGCGCCGCAUUAGCUAGUUGGUAAGGUAACGGCUUACCAAGGCAACGAUGCGUAGCCGACCUGAGAGGGUGAUCGGCCACACUGGAACUGAGACACGGUCCAGACUCCUACGGGAGGCAGCAGUAGGGAAUCUUCCGCAAUGGGCGAGAGCCUGACGGAGCAACGCCGCGUGAGUGAUGAAGGUCUUCGGAUCGUAAAACUCUGUUAUUAGGGAAGAACAAAUGUGUAAGUAGCUAUGCACGUCUUGACGGUACCUAAUCAGAAAGCCACGGCUAACUACGUG
rnacentral:rRNA from 1 species